rnacentral:ncRNA from 1 species
GGGUUUUAUUCUGGCUCCGAGUGAACGCUGGUAACAUAUUUUAACACAUGCAAAUCGAACGAAAAGUAAAUUUACUUUAAGUGGUGACCUGGUGAGUAGUAUAGGAGAAUUGAAGUGUGGGUUAGGCCAAAAAGCCGGCCUCGUUUUUCACAUCGUUUAACCCCUUAAUAAUGCGAAAGAUUAAAACAGCAAGAUUCUUUUUUAAAAUUAAAUAUGGAAAUAGCAUCUCUAAAAACUUAUUUACCAAGCUUAAACCAGUAAUAGAAUAUUCAAGCAUCCCAUCAUUUCUACGCAUAAUUAAAAUAAAUAAAAAAUCUAAAUAAUGGUAGGGACAGGAUUCGAACCUGUGAAGCAUUGUAGCAAAAGGUUUACAGCCUUUUCCCUUUAACUUGAGAGAAUGAUCAGCCACAUUGGGACUGAAAACGGCCCAAGUCUUCUAAAAGGGCAGCAGUGGAGAAUAUUUGACAAUGGGCGAAAGCUUGAUCGAGUAAUGUUACGUGAUAUUUCUGGUAUUU